rnacentral:rRNA from 1 species
CACGUAGUUAGCCGUCCCUUUCUGGUAAGUUACCGUCACUGUGUGAACUUUCCACUCUCACACACGUUCUUCUCUUACAACAGAGCUUUACGAUCCGAAAACCUUCUUCACUCACGCGGCGUUGCUCGGUCAGGGUUCCCCCCAUUGCCGAAGAUUCCCUACUGCUGCCUCCCGUAGGAGUCUGGGCCGUGUCUCAGUCCCAGUGUGGCCGAUCACCCUCUCAGGUCGGCUAUGUAUCGAUGCCUUGGUGAGCCGUUACCCCACCAACUAGCUAAUACAACGCAGGUCCAUCUCAUAGUGAAGCAGUUGCUCCUUUCAAGCAUUUACCAUGCGAUAAAUACUGUUAUGCGGUAUUAGCUAUCGUUUCCAAUAGUUAUCCCCCGCUAUGAGGUAGGUUACCUACGCGUUACUCACCCGUUCGCGACUCAUGAUUAAUGGUGGAGCAAGCUCCGGUAUCGAAUCAUGCGUUCCACUUGCAUGUAUUAGGCACCGCGCC